UUGCGCCAAAGGUCUUUCUACCAGCAAAACAAAAUAGCAGGACAGAAGUGACAGCGUCAGAAAGAAAACAAUGCUGUUCCGAUUGCUGAUGGAGACAACAGAGGUAAGGACAUAUUAUGUAUCUAGAGUUUUUGAAUGGCUAAUCUUGGUGUCGCCUCAAACUAGCUCUCUUCUCGGUGCCUUCGUAUGGCUGUUCAUGCUACCAGCUACAGAUAGUCAAAUGAAUCAAAGCUACGUUUGGUCUCAAACAAAAUUGUACACGGAAAAUAGUAGUCCUUCAGUAGGCAAGACAAUCACAACAUAUGAUAAGCCUGUCAAAGCCCUGCACCAAAUCAUGGAGUAGGUCGACUGUGGUUUUCACUUUUACUGCUAGUAAAACUGACGGCACGUAAUUCGACUGUCUAGCCAAUAACUGGUAGGCCUACAUUGCUUGAUCUUCAGGUCAUACUAGUUGUAGGUUUUACAGUGAUACUGGUGUAUUGACACACUUCUUUAUUUAUUAUUUAGAAAGACAGGAGAAGGUCAAGACUCAAGAGCUGGACUUUCCAUGACGUCCUCACUCGACCCCUGUGAAUAGCAGCCCACCGUUGACCAGCCAUCAGUAUCUACUGUGCAGUCAUUUCCUGACCCGGUUUCUCACAAGCCCUUCGCAGACGAACACUACCACCUGAAGACGGUCGUCUGGGUAAUACUUCGGUUUGGCACCGGCAUGGUCUACCACAAAGAUAGACGCCAGACCUUCUGAAAGGACCUAAUGGACUGAGUGCUGGAAAGGAGACAACCCCUCUAUAGAAUAAACUGAGUGUAACAAACACUCCACCAAGAACAGACAUGUAUGUUUCAGUGUCAUGACGGAGCAAUCAUUUCGGAAGGUCCUAAACCCUAUUUAUCUAAAAUACUUUCUGAUGUUUGAUAGUGACAUCUUGGUUACCCAAUAAGACAUUUCUUACAUUAUUACAAGAUUCUUCACUUCUUCCUACAUUGUUAAUGACUGAAUGAUUACAAUUAUGAUGUACACAUUGUUAUUGGUCACACCUGCUGACAUUAAAGUCCCAGUAAAAUCUU